rnacentral:lncRNA from 1 species
UAAUCUCCUCUCAGAUAAUAUAAGGAUUUCUGACCAUCUGAUAGUAUUGAUCUUUUGGUCUCUCUAAAAACAGCUAAAUCUCCUUAUGGCUUGGGAAUUUUUUUGUCUGUUUGUUUUUCAGUUCAGUGGAACUUAUGAGGUUCAACUAUAUUUGAGUUGGAGAAUCUAAAUGAACAAAAAGAGCUUACCUGAUCCACCAAUCUGAAAAGUAUUUCUUCAUGGAAUCAUGGUAUCCUAAGGGAAGAAUGGACCUAAGAGAGAUCCUAAUCCAUCCCCUUUCACACCUGCAAGUCCAAGUCAUUCCAUGUCUCACUAGAGUUCCCUUGAGCUGGGGCAAUCUGUUCCAUGUACUUUAGGGGGACUUGGAGCAAAACUUCAUGACAGUUCUGUGAUAAAAGAGCAAAAGAAGGUUGUGUCUUUCCCCAAAGGUCUAGAGAAAUUAGAAGAGAGGGUAGAGAAAGGGAGGGUAUGUGGAAACAGGAGUUGAGGAAUGGAUAAUAGGAAAAAGAACAACUAGGGAAAAUAAUAAAAAUGGAAAAAAAACUUUUAAAAAUUCUGGAAACAUGUGCAAAUUGAGAUAGCCCAGGAUAUGAGUCAGAGGUGGCUGGGUUUAAAAAAAAAAAAAAAAAAAAAAAAGACAACUGAAGAAAAAUAAGGAAAAUGGUUUGCUGUUUUUGUUGUUGUUGUUCUCUUACAAGUGUAAGUUUAUAGUUAUUAAGCAAAACAAAAAUUAGAAUUGUUACAAGGUAUUGUACAUGUAGGGGAAAAUUUUUGAGGUAAAAUAUGAGAGUCUAACAAUAAAUGUAAAUC